ACACUGUUCAUGGGUUACCGCGGCUGCUGGCACGGAGUUAGCCGGUGCUUCUUCUGUGAGUGAUGUCCUUCCUGCCGGCUAUUAACCCGCAGGCCUUCUUCCUCACUGAAAGUGCUUUACAACCCGAAGGCCUUCUUCACACACGCGGCAUGGCUGGAUCAGGGUUGCCCCCAUUGUCCAAUAUUCCCCACUGCUGCCUCCCGUAGGAGUCUGGGCCGUGUCUCAGUCCCAGUGUGGCUGAUCAUCCUCUCAGACCAGCUACGGAUCGUCGCCUUGGUGAGCCGUUACCUCACCAACCAGCUAAUCCGACAUAGGCUCAUCCGAUAGCGCGAGGCCCGAAGGUCCCCCGNUUUCCCCCGUAGGGCGUAUGCGGUAUUAGCCUGGGUUUCCCCAGGUUAUCCCCACUACCGGGCAGAUUCCUAUGCAUUACUCACCCGUCCGCCGCUCGCCACCAGGGAGCAAGCUCCCCGUGCUGCCGCUCGACUUGCAUGUGUUAGGCCUGCCGCCAGCGU
rnacentral:rRNA from 1 species